rnacentral:rRNA from 1 species
UACAGAGGGUGCGAGCGUUAAUCGGAAUUACUGGGCGUAAAGCGCGCGUAGGCGGCUUUGCAAGUCGAGUGUGAAAUCCCCAGGCUUAACCUGGGAACUGCAUUCGAGACUGCAUAGCUAGAGUAUGGGAGAGGGAAGUGGAAUUUCAGGUGUAGCGGUGAAAUUCGUAGAUAUCGAGAGGAACACCGGUGGCGAAGGCGGCCAACUGGACGAACACUGACGCUGAGACUCGAAAGCGUGGGGAGCAAACAGG